AGUCACUGACAUUAGAUACCCGCGUAGUCCAGGGUGUAAACGCUGCAGACUUGGUGUUGGAAGCCCUUUGGGGGCAUUCAGUGCCGGAGAGAAGUUGUUAAGUCUGCUACUUGGGGAGUACGUCCGCAAGGAUGAAACUUAAAGGAAUUGGCGGGGGAGCACCGCAACGGGAGGAGCGUGCGGUUUAAUUUGGAUUCAACACCGUAAACUCACCAGGGAAGACUGUUACAUGAAGGCCGAGAUGAAGACUCUGCUAGAUUUUCAG
rnacentral:rRNA from 1 species